CGCAGUUUUGACAAACAACACAAUAAUGAUUGAAGUUUUUCUACGAGUAUGAAAGUAUAGUUCAAUAUCUGGCAGCAGAGACGUUUGUGUGAAUUCCAUACAUGAUUCACCUGUUGACCCGUCUCCUCGUUGUCGAUGCAUCCAUUGACAGUCUACUCUUCUACUGCAAGAACAUCUGCAUGUAAUCGUCAAGUUUGCUGGUUUGCAAAAGCUACCAGUAUGUAUAUACAGUACUCCGAGCAACGGCCCAGCAACGUGUAUCUGACGAUCUCUAAGCGUGACUAACUACAGCCAUCAGCUUUGAUCAGAGUCUCUCCUCCCGAUAUGCCCUUCCUAGGAUGCUCUUCCCAAGAUGAUCUUCCCAAGAUGCUCUUCCCAAGAUGCUCCAAGAUGUCACUGCAAGAAGGAGGAGAGAGAAAGAAAAACAUUGUUUCUACAAGAGCAAGAUUCUUAAGGAUAUCAGCCAUUCGAUGGGCACCUUGUGAGAUGCAACAUUGGAAGGGACGGUGAUGAACUUGCUACCCCAUGGGCCACUAUGGGGUCAUGUUUGGUCUUUUGAAGGACCACGUCACAGUUUGAGAACUGUAGACCUGAUGAUGACUCAAAUAUCUGAAAAUCAAGAUUCAGAUUUGUCACUGGAAAAGUUUGAAAGGAUUUUGGGGAACAAUUUAAACAACUCCCCUGUAUAACAGACCUUUCUCAAACUUAGUAUUAUUUAACAUUUGAUAAGCAAUCCUGUUGGCAAGUCAGCUGUCACCUGCAAGCAAUGUGCCUUUUAAAACUCGACCUAAUUGUCAUUUAAACUGAACCUCACUGUUUCAUUGUCUAAAAGAAUUUCUGCCGGCAGAAAAUAGAAUUUAGAAUGAAAAGUUCACAACUUUACAUUCUUAUUUUGCAUCAACAGAAAACAAACUGAAGUUUGCAACAUUCAUGGUGAAAUAACGUGAACAUCCAACUUACCAACAUGAUCAUAAAACCAAAGCAACCUGAUCCAUGUACACAGCCCAGACCAUAGACGAUGUGACCUGUGACAUCACUUGUUUACAAAAGAGCCACAGAGCCUGGACUUCCUGCAGGCUCGAUUUGUACACGGCCUAAUGGAACAAAUCAUAAAAUCUUGUGAUUUAUGGAGAUUGCUCUGUCUAAUUCUUAUCAACUUUUGACGUUUUGUCAGCAAUAACUUUCACCCCAGAUUCAAGUAUUGGCUUCUUGUGCAAGAGCCAUUGACCUUGUACACACCAAACGGAAUUCAAAACAAAAUGGUGGCUACCUGUUUUGAUUUUGAAUCAGAAAUCUGUCAUAUUUGUUUGCAAAUUCAGGUGGGACUUUAAACUAUUAUGAGAGCGUUUAUUGAGACAUGGUGUGGGGCUUAGUAGAUACCUUCACGCUUAAUAACACGGUUAGCAAUAUAAUAUCCCUACACCUGUACACUGUACAGU